UACAGAGGUCCCAAGCGUUGUUCGGAUUCAUUGGGCGUAAAGGGUGCGUAGGUGGCGUCGUAAGUCGGGUGUGAAAUUUCGGAGCUCAACUCCGAAACUGCAUUCGAUACUGUGGUGCUUGAGGACUGGAGAGGAGACUGGAAUUUACGGUGUAGCAGUGAAAUGCGUAGAGAUCGUAAGGAAGACCAGUGGCGAAGGCGGGUCUCUGGACAGUUCCUGACACUGAGGCACGAAGGCCAGGGGAGCAAACGGG
rnacentral:rRNA from 1 species